UGUCCAGGGUAGCCUAGUGGACAUGGCAUCUGCCCGUUAAGCGGAACACUGUGGGUUCGAUUCCCACUUUUAUUU
rnacentral:tRNA from 1 species